rnacentral:lncRNA from 1 species
GAAAUCUCUAAAACUGUCUUGGGGUCAAAAAUUGUUUAUUUUGUUUAGUUUCAUUUUAUUUUUAAAUCAUUCUUCCAACUAUGCCGACGAACACAGCAUUUAUUCGACGUGAGUUCUUGGUUCUUAUUUCUAGGUCGAAAUUAUUUCACGACACAUCCUUUGCAGCUAGUAAAAAAGGCUUUGGAGAGCUAAAGCUAACAAUUUGAAGGUAAGUUUCGUAGGUAAAAGUGGGAAGCAAGAAUUCCAAAUGGAGAGUUCCCCAGUUUUCGAAGAGGAGGAAUGCAGAGUCCUGCUCGGUGUCCCUCGACGACUGUGUGUCGUUGCCAGAGAAGACACAAUCCUCAACCAAAGCAGAAAACUCUUGCUUCCGCAGCUAACCCACGUAGGUUUACCUUCCAUUUUUUGUAAUUGUUUUUAACCAGCGUCCAGAGUGCGACCGAGGAAAACUGGCAUCAGACACUGGGCGAGCUGAGGGAUAUGCUACAGCUGUGCGAGGCACAAUACAACGAAGACCUAGGGGAGCUGGCCAACACCAUCGACUCCAUGAGGACUGAGAUGGACAACCUAAUGUCUCGGUGAGUGGAGCAGCCUCAUCAAUUUAUUCUGAUGAAAACUGUUGCUUAAUUAUCUAUAGCAAUAAGGGGCUGGAUCAACAGAUGAAGGAUUCGGAGGCUUUUGUUAUCCAGGCACAGAAGGAGCUCGAAAGGAAAGAAAAGGCGAGUUAAUAGACUGUCUGGAGGAGGAGUUGAAGGACAAGCGGCAGCAGAGCUGAGGAUGCAACAAGCCAGGUAGAAGUGGAGAAAGAUCAGAUCAUUUGCGAUUUGAAUCUGAAGCUCCUGACUUGUAUGCAGUUCAAGGAAAUGCUCCACAGACAACUCGAGGAUAUUCAAAAGCUGCAGGCGGGCAACGAAAGGCUGGAUAGAAAUAUCCAAGAGACUGAGAGGGCUGAGAUCAGGUUAAGCCCUCACUGAUGUGCACAGUUAAGCACCUAAAUAUUGUCAUUCCGAAUCCCCAGUGAGCUGCAGGAGAACAUGAAGAGCACGGAACUGCAGCUUGAUUCCAGUUGCCAAAGGGAGCAGCAGCUCAGCUUGCCUCUCGAGCAUGUCAAGUCGGAGCUGUUAAGGUCCGAGCAGCUGGUGGUCCAGUUACGGGAGGAGAACGGAGAAAACAUGAGUCAGACUCAGACUGAAAACCAUUAAAGUCGAGGGAUGAGCAGCUGUGCCAUGUCUUCAGAAAACUUAGCAGCAUGCAGAGGAAGCUUAUGAGCAUGGAGGAGUCUAUAAAACUAGUCAACGAUCCGAAUUAUCGCCUCUCCCACCUCUGCAAUGGGCAGCGUAAGAGGAACGCGACACUUCCCAACUCAUUUUUGUAUAACAUUUCGAAAGCAAUUCAAUCUCCAGAAAGGUGUAUGAGGAUCAUAUCAGCAUCAGCUUCAGCAGACGAUCAGAACAGCCAACUCAUCAGAAGAGAUGCUGCUGUGUAAGUAAUUUUCAGCAGGGAAACUUUCAAUUGCAUGGAAAUUACUUUCGGCCACCUUUGCUUAGGAGCCUCAGGUAACAUAUUUUCCGGUAGGCAUUGCAAUUGCCAGGACUGGCAGCACCAAGCUCAUCAGCAUUAAAAUUCCAUGUCAGGUGGUAUAGAGACAAGACAACAUCGGAAAUUGAUCAAUCGACC